rnacentral:rRNA from 1 species
UACAGAGGUCCCAAGCGUUGUUCGGAUUCACUGGGCGUAAAGGGUGCGUAGGCGGCCUGUUAAGUCAGGGGUGAAAGACGGUAGCUCAACUAUCGCAGUGCCCUUGAUACUGACGGGCUUGAAUUGACUAGAGGUAGGCGGAAUGUGACAAGUAGCGGUGAAAUGCAUAGAUAUGUCACAGAACACCGAUUGCGAAGGCAGCUUACUAUGGUCAUAUUGACGCUGAGGCACGAAAGCGUGGGGAUCAAACAGG